rnacentral:snoRNA from 1 species
AGGGUGUGCUCAGAGCAGGGGGCCUGAAGAAUGGCUCCUCUGUUUACAACACACCCGAUAGGAAUCUGGGGUCAUUGUGAUGAGGGACACAUUUGUGGCUUCCUUAUGAGAAAAUGCCCUAUACAU